GACGGAGGAUGCAAGCGUUAUCCGGAAUGAUUGGGCGUAAAGCGUCCGCAGGUGGCAGUUCAAGUCUGCUGUCAAAGACCGGGGCUUAACUUCGGAAAGGCAGUGGAAACUGAACAGCUAGAGUAUGGUAGGGGCAGAGGGAAUUCCUGGUGUAGCGGUGAAAUGCGCAGAUAUCAGGAGGAACACCGAUGGCGAAGGCAGCUCGCUGGGACGGUAUUGACGCUGAGACGCGAAAGCGUGGGGAGCAAACAGG
rnacentral:rRNA from 1 species